GUAAAUAGAACAUUUAAAUGUGUUCAGUUUCGACCUGAAAAAUAAGAGUUUAUCUUUAUUUACU
rnacentral:tRNA from 1 species